rnacentral:misc_RNA from 1 species
UCCUUGUAAUGGAAUGGGUCGAGGUACUUCUUGUUCCCUAGUUGUUGUGUGUCUAUUUGUUCAUUUUAACAAGGAAGAUCACUAAUGGGAACCAAGGGCAUAAGAAUAACCCAAUUACAAAAGGAAGGGAGUUAUUAACAAGAGAGAGUAAUAGAAAUGAUAGCAAUGUGAAAAUCAGCAAAAUGUUUUGCACAAUUCAAAAUCUGAUGUUCC